GACGAACGCUGGCGGCGUGCUUAACACAUGCAAGUCGAACGGAAAGGCCCUGCUUUUGUGGGGUGCUCGAGUGGCGAACGGGUGAGUAACACGUGAGUAACCUGCCCUUGACUUUGGGAUAACUUCAGGAAACUGGGGCUAAUACCGGAUAGGAGCUCCUGCUGCAUGGUGGGGGUUGGAAAGUUUCGGCGGUUGGGGAUGGACUCGCGGCUUAUCAGCUUGUUGGUGGGGUAGUGGCUUACCAAGGCUUUGACGGGUAGCCGGCCUGAGAGGGUGACCGGCCAAAUUGGGACUGAGAUACGGCCCGGACUCCUACGGGAGGCAGCAGGGGGGAAUAUGGCACAAUGGGCGGAAGCCUGAUGCAGCAACGCCGCGUGCGGGAGGACGGCCUUCGGGUUGUAAACCGUUUUCGCCUGUGACGAAGCGGGGGUGACGGUAAUGGGUAAAGAAGCACCGGCUAACUACGUG
rnacentral:rRNA from 1 species